GCCUUCGUACCUUCUCCGGUGUCACAAUUAGGAACCGCACUGAUGCGUCUCCUUCCUCCUCCGGUCCCCAUCUCCCCGGGCCAAUGGCAGCAUCCGGUCUACGCCUACCCCGACCCCCUCCCUCAAUUCGCUACAGCCGAGACGCGGAAAUUCGAGGGCGAGUUCCGGAAGACGCUUGCCAAGAGUAAGGAGAUAGUCGGCGACGACGUCGACGCCGUCUUUAAUUUUGUGCAUUUGGCUACGAGGGCAUUGGUUGGUCGAUCUCCUUGUUAUCAAGGGUAAGAGAAUUGCACAAUUAGCUUCCCAUCUCUGAGAUGCUCUGAAGCGAAGGACGCCAUUGCCUGCCUCUCACUGCCAUCUGUAUGCUGCUUUUUUGUCUAUCACUCCCCUGCUUUGUUGCCUGUAUCAUCUCAUAAACACAGAGCAGUGAGAACACAUCCAAACAGCUGACUGACAGUAGUAAAUGGGUGCCUUGGGUUUUAGCUGUUCAGUUCAUGUAGUAUGAUGUUCAUGGAUCGCUAGCCGUUUGAAGGAUGACUUGCAGCAAAUACAGUAGAAUGUACCUGAUGUCUACUUCUUGAAUCCUCCAGAGCUUUUGUAACUUCUGAACAGAAAUGUCCACGAAAAGCUCGACGUUAGCCAGCAUCAGAAAAUCUAAACAAAGUGAUCAGGAAUUACUAGUCUGAGAUGGACUUGCAGAAGGAAGAACAGAUUCGGACCCUGGGA